rnacentral:rRNA from 1 species
GACGAACGCUGGCGGCGUGCCUAAUACAUGCCAGUAGAACGCUGAAGAGAGGAGCUUGCUCUUCUUGGAUGAGUUGCGAACGGGUGAGUAACGCGUAGGUAACCUGCCUUGUAGCGGGGGAUAACUAUUGGAAACGAUAGCUAAUACCGCAUAACAAUGGAUGACACAUGUCAUUUAUUUGAAAGGGGCAAUUGCUCCACUACAAGAUGGACCUGCGUUGUAUUAGCUAGUAGGUGAGGUAAUGGCUCACCUAGGCGACGAUACAUAGCCGACCUGAGAGGGUGAUCGGCCACACUGGGACUGAGACACGGCCCAGACUCCUACGGGAGGCAGCAGUAGGGAAUCUUCGGCAAUGGGGGCAACCCUGACCGAGCAACGCCGCGUGAGUGAAGAAGGGUUUCGGAUCGUAAAGCUCUGUUGUAAGUCAAGAACGGGUGUGAGAGUGGAAAGUUCACACUGUGACGGUAGCUUACCAGAAAGGGACGGCUAGCUACGUG